UCCCAAUGGCUGAAAACGUAAAGAAUCUGCCUGCAAUGCAGGAGACCCAGGUUUGAUCCCUGGGUUGGGAA
rnacentral:tRNA from 1 species